CAGGCCUAACACAUGCAAGUCGAGCGGAUGACAGGAGCUUGCUCCUUGAUUCAGCGGCGGACGGGUGAGUAAUACCUAGGAAUCUGCCUGAUAGUGGGGGACAACGUUUCGAAAGGAACGCUAAUACCGCAUACGUCCUACGGGAGAAAGCAGGGGACCUUCGGGCCUUGCGCUAUCAGAUGAGCCUAGGUCGGAUUAGCUAGUUGGUGAGGUAAUGGCUCACCAAGGCGACGAUCCGUAACUGGUCUGAGAGGAUGAUCAGUCACACUGGAACUGAGACACGGUCCAGACUCCUACGGGAGGCAGCAGUGGGGAAUAUUGGACAAUGGGCGAAAGCCUGAUCCAGCCAUGCCGCGUGUGUGAAGAAGGUCUUCGGAUUGUAAAGCACUUUAAGUUGGGAGGAAGGGCAGUAAGCUAAUACCUGCUGUUUGACGUUACCGACAGAAUAGCACCGGUACUCG
rnacentral:rRNA from 1 species